UGUCUCUCUCUCUCUCAAAUAAAUAAGCUUAAAAAAAAAAGAUUACACUUCUGAGAGAAACUGAAACCUGUUAUGUUAGUAUCUUGGCUUGGUGACAUGAGCUUACCACCAAGUGACUCCAUUUGGGCCUGUUUUCUCUUUUUAACAAUACCUUAUGAUUCCAUUUAUAUGUCACUCUGAAAAUGUCAAAAUUAUAGAGACAGAGUACAGACUGGUGAAGAGGAGUGAUUGCCCAGGUUAGGGAUGGGGUGGGGAGGACGGGCCACCCAAGAGGGUCUUGGGUGAUACAAGUGCUAUGUCCUGUCAGUGUCAAUGUCCUGGUGUGACAUCAUCCUGUAGUUCUGAAUGAUGUCACCCUCUGGGGAAAUUGGGUGAUGGGUGCUCAAGAGAUCUCUGUAUUGUUUCAUACAACUUCAUGUGAAUGUAGUUUUCUUUAAUGAGAUGUGGUAUAACUGUAGGUGUCUUACACACCUCAGCCUGCCCACGUCCACGUGUCUGCUUACCUCAUAGACAUUCCAAUUCCUGAACUCUUCUAAAUGACAAUUAAAUGACCCCAAUGAUUAAUUCACCACUUAAAAGUUACUAGCUGCUGUUUUGUCAAAAAAUUUAUCAUUUUUACUCAUUUCCCUUGUACAUGUUACCAAGGGCACACAGGCAAAAGCUCUGUCUAACCUUUUUUAGUUCUAUCUAAGCAACAUUUAUGGUAGGAAAUGGGGAUUCUGAGAUGGUUUUGCUGAAGCAUGAAUGACACAAUAAGGAGAAGACGUAGAUGAUGCCGUGGGCAACGAGACUCAGAGGCUGGGAGACGGUGCCCCCAGAGCAAUGGCAGUAAAUGAGAUAUUUCAAGUAGGCAAGAUUGCUUCACUGACAGUGUCUAUAGUUUGCAAGCCGGUGCAACCAGGGAAGGAUUGAGCAGUGAGCAAUGAAGAAUAAGACCCCCGUGUGCAAGCGAGAAGGACCACGGCGUAAAUGCUGUCUUCUACUUCAUCUUUCCCAGAAGCACAAAGACCCAAGUCAAAAGCAAGUGCACAGCCAGUGCACUGAGCAAGCCAGCUCUGCAGCUGAACAGGCCGUAGGUGCUCCCGAAUAUGGUGGAGAAGACCCUGUGUGGUGUGAGGCCAUCCUGCAUCCGCUGGCUUCCACACUACCCUCUAACUGACCACACAUACAGGGACCAACCAAGCCGGCCCAGACCAGACGGCCAGCCCAGAUUACUCAGUAAUCAGGAAAUGUGCAAAAAUGUGAAUUGUGCCUGAGACAGCCUUCUUCAGCAGUGCUCUGGAAGACAAGACACCCGGAAUUCUCUUUAAAGACCACCCUUCCGUAAGACAGUGGCCCUGGGGUGUGUAGAUCAUUCCUCCAUGGGUCACACCUGAAAUGCAAAUUUCUGACUCUACAGUAUCAAUUCUACGUUAAUGAGCUGGAGAGAGUAAGAUUCCAAGCCUUUCAAGUAUAUAUGAAAUGCAUUGCAAUUGUAUACUCGUUGCAAUAAAGAUGCCCUGAUUUAAAAUAAUAAAGUCCACCUCUCCUUGCCCAACACCCAGGGAAGGAGAGGAAGGGAGCUGCUGACCCAGGAGCGAGCGUUCAGCCACCCAACAGCCAAUCCUUCCUGGCCUCUUGGGUUCAAAUCUCCCAUCCUUUGCCUGCCACAUGGU